AUUGAACGCUGGCGGCAUGCCUUACACAUGCAAGUCGAACGGUAACGGGCCUUCGGGUGCCGACGAGUGGCGAACGGGCGAGUAAUACAUCGGAACGUGCCCGAUCGUGGGGGAUAACGAGGCGAAAGCUUUGCUAAUACCGCAUACGAUCUACGGAUGAAAGCAGGGGACCGCAAGGCCUUGCGCGGGCGGAGCGGCCGAUGGCAGAUUAGGUAGUUGGUGGGCUAAAAGCUUACCAAGCCGACGAUCUGUAGCUGGUCUGAGAGGAUGAUCAGCCACACUGGGACUGAGACACGGCCCAGACUCCUACGGGAGGCAGCAGUGGGGAAUUUUGGACAAUGGGCGCAAGCCUGAUCCAGCCAUGCCGCGUGCAGGAUGAAGGCCUUCGGGUUGUAAACUGCUUUUGUACGGAACGAAAAGCCUUCUUUUAAUACAGGAGGGUCAUGACGGUACCGUAAGAAUAAGCACCGGCUAACUACGUG
rnacentral:rRNA from 1 species